UGCCUCAGUAACGGCGAGUGAAGCGGCAAAAGCUCAAAUUUAAAAUCUGGCACUCUCAGUGUCCGAGUUGUACUUUGGAGAGGCAUCUUCUGGAGGGACCCAGCCUAUGUGCCUUGGAACAGGACGUCAUAGAGGGUGAGAAUCCCGUCCUUGGCUGGAUGUUCCCUCCUGUAUGUAGUGUCUUCUACGAGUCGAGUUGUUUGGGAAUGCAGCUCAAAAUGGGUGGUAAAUUUCAUCUAAAGCUAAAUAUUGGCGAGAGACCGAUAGCGCACAAGUAGAGUGAUCGAAAGAUGAAAAGCACUUUGAAAAUAGAGUCAAACAGUACGUGAAAUUGUUGAAAGGGAAGCGCUUGAGACCAGAGUCAACCUUUGGCAAACAAUUGUCCUUCUGGGCUGUGCACUUGUCAUUGGCUGGGCCAGCAUCGGUUGGGACGGCAGGAUAAAGGCCUUGGGAAUGUGACUCCCUUGUGGAGUGUUAUAGCCCUUGGUGCCAUGCUGUCAGCCCCGACCGUGGACCGCGCUUAGGCUCGGAUGCUGGCUUAAUGGUCUUCAGCGACCCGUCUUGAAACACGGACCAAGGAGUCUAACGUCUAUGCGAGUGUUUGGGCUUCAAACCCUUACGCGUAAUGAAAGUAAACGGAGGUGGGAAUCCUGCGAGGGAUGCACCAUCGACCGAUCCUGAUGUCUUCGGAUGGAUUUGAGUAGGAGCAUAGCUGUUGGGACCCGAAAGAUGGUGAACUAUGCCUGAAUAGGGUGAAGCCAGAGGAAACUCUGGUGGAGGCUCGCAGCGGUUCUGACGUGCAAAUCGAUCGUCAAAUUUGGGUAUAGGGGCGAA
rnacentral:rRNA from 1 species